rnacentral:tRNA from 1 species
GGGGUUGUGGCUCAGAGGCAGAGUGCUUUCCUAGCAUGUGAGAGGCACUGGGUUCCAUCCUCAGCACCACA